UACGAAGGGGGCUAGCGUUGCUCGGAAUCACUGGGCGUAAAGCGCACGUAGGCGGCUUCUAAGUCAGGGGUGAAAUCCUGGAGCUCAACUCCAGAACUGCCUUUGAUACUGGAGAGCUUGAGUCCGGAAGAGGUGAGUGGAACUCCGAGUGUAGAGGUGAAAUUCGUAGAUAUUCGGAAGAACACCAGUGGCGAAGGCGGCUCACUGGCCGGUACUGACGCUGAUGUGCGAAAGCGUGGGGAGCAACAGG
rnacentral:rRNA from 1 species